UACGUAGGGCGCAAGCGUUGUCCGGAUUUACUGGGCGUAAAGAGCGCGCAGGCGGUCGUUCAAGUCGCGUGUGAAAGCCCCCGGCUCAACUGGGGAGGGUCACGCGAUACUGAUCGACUGGAAGGCAGGAGAGGGUAGUGGAAUUCCCGGUGUAGUGGUGAAAUGCGUAGAUAUCGGGAGGAACACCAGUGGCGAAGGCGACUACCUGGCCUGUUCUUGACGCUGAGGCGCGAAAGCUAGGGGAGCAAACGGG
rnacentral:rRNA from 1 species